AGUUUUGUGCAGUGGCAGUAUUGUAGCCAAUGAGGUUUAUCUGAAGUGUGAUUAUUGCUAAUUGAAAACUUUUCUCCACUGUCCC
rnacentral:snRNA from 1 species